AUGAGUUUUUGUCUCAUAUUUAUAUUGCAUAAGCGAUAUCACACGAGCAGCGAGAGCAGUAUCACACGAGUGCUGUUUUUGUCCCGAAUAUUCAAUAGGUGCGAGCCAGCGCGAUCGCUCAAGAUGCUGAUCAGAACUAUGACUACGCCUCAAACAGUAGUGAUUCUGCAUCUAGACGCUGGCGAUGAAGUCUACGCUGGCGAUGAAGUCUACAUCAAACUGGAUGGCGGCAAAGCCCAUGGGGGCAACAAUAACGAAUACAGCACAUUCUCUGGCUUCAUUCUUUACGCCGACUGAAUAUGUGAUCGCAGAGGAAAAGCAGCUGGAAAGAAAGAAAUAUAGCGAAAGGAAAGUGGAAGUGAAGGAAGGAGCAUUUAACAUCCCAGCGCUUUAUUUUACCAGGAUCUCUCCAUUGCUUCAGCACACAUUUUUACAGAAAGAGACUCAGUGGAACGAGGGUUCAGUAGCUUCUCGUUGAAUCACCUUAUUGAUUGAUAAAAAGACAAGGUUGAUAAAAAGACAAGGAAAUAAAGUGAUAAAAGUGACGUUUUUCUCUUUCGGUGUUGAAAGGGCAUUAAGACUCUUAGAGUGACUGGCAGAGAUCUUUAACCUCAUCCUCAUGUGAUUUUCCUCAGUAAAACUCGUUUUGCCCACAGAUAUCUAAUGUUAAAAAUAUCCAUGACAACCUGUGGGAAAAAGUAUGAUACUUUUGAAGGAUAUGUGAAUCUGAUGACAACUUAUGUAUUCAUAUAAUUCUAAGGCUUGUGUCCGAUUUCUCCUUACCUCUAUACUGGACACAGCACCCCCUGUUGGCUAUUGUUGGUAACUGGUUUCCAUCUGCAUUCUUUUCGUAUGUGUUGUACUCUGUUGGGACUGCAGUAGCUGAUGAGCAUUGUGAAUGAAUGCCAUUCCUUACAAGCACUUGAUACUCAAUUUAGACAAUUGGUACUCUGCUACUCCUGCUUCCCACGACACCUUUCCUUCCCUGUCAAUUAGCACUCGACCCUAAUCUCGCUCCUCUCAGUCACCUCCUGCCCCUCCAGAAACACCAGAUGACUUAUAAUAGUCUAAACUAUUUUUUUGUUGUUGUUUUUGAAAGAGACGGCUUAAAGGAUGCUUAUGUAUGUUUUAGUGUUAGUUAACUUACUGUAGAAAGAAUGGAGAGCCUGUGAUGAACACAUAAACAGGAUAUUUUUCUGAAGCUAAAUGUAAAAAAUACAAAAAAAAAUUCAAAUAAAAAUAUAACAACUGAGUUUGGCAAAUAUUCUUCGCUAUUUUAAAAUAUAAAUUAUAAAAUUAUUAACUAUAAGCCACAGUAUUACUAUUUCAUAACAAUUAUUAUUUAUAAUCUGAACAUUACGGAGAAUUUCAGAUGUCAGAAGUGAUGGCUUAAAAACGUAUUGAUUUUGAAGAGGGCUGGAGGAUGAGUUGAGGUGCUUUUGAGGGGGUUCAACUUAUCACUCAAUCAUUCCUGCUAACAAAUGCAACAACAUGCAGUGCGAAUAUUUACAAGGUAAUAUUUGAUUCCGGUGGGACGAAUGAAUGUGAGAAAAUGAGGUUUAUUUGUAAGUGUGCAUGUGUGUUUGCGAGUGUGAGUGUGUGUGUGUAUCUGUACCAACACCAGAGCAUGAACUACAGUAUAUUUAGUCUUUGCCACAUUAUUGGUUUGAGAAAUGUUCUAUGCUUUAGCUGGUCAAAGAUGUGAUAUAGAGCCAAUGAGAUUGCAUCAGACACGUUUAGCUAAGCCUCUACAGAGAAGAUAUAAAAGAAACAAUAAAGCUGUAAAUUAAAUAAAUCUAUGCUAUGUUUGUCAGUCCUACUCUAUCUUUUGGAAAUGUUGAAUAAAUUUAAAUAACAAAUGGGAUCUUUGGAGUCGUUUGUGCUGUAAUGAUUUUUUGUUCAAUGCGAAAAAAACAGUUUUUGGGAAAAAGAAACCCAUUAGCAUAAAUCUUCCAAUUUAUCUAAUUCCUCACAUAAUAGGCUAUUUAAUACAUGCUUUAGUCAUUUCAAAUUACAUCAGAUUCACGUUUAUGCCUCUGCUUCUUUUUCCAUCCACAGAUUUCUUCCUCCCAUCUCUCUAUUUUUAUCUCUUACCUGUCACCUGGUCUGACUCACAAAAGCACAUAGGGAAAAAACACAGCUGUAGACUUAACAAAAGCUUUCAUUAAGUGUGCCUCAUUGCUUGAUUCACGUUGUCACCUCUGUUGCAUCUCAGGACACCUUCUUCCAGAGGACACAUUCAAACAGCCAGGGCUGGUGUUCAGAGCAGAGACAGGAGAAAGAGAGAAAAAAGAGAGAAAGAGAGAGAUGUUGGCAGAUAUUUGCAAAAUACAUCACAUCAAGUGAUAUUCUGAGAGGGAUUUAAAUGAAUGUGCAGUUCUGCUCAUAAGCUGACGGCA
rnacentral:lncRNA from 1 species